GAUGAACGCUAGCGACAGGCUUAACACAUGCAAGUCGAGGGGCAUCGGGACGUAGCAAUACGUUGCCGGCGACCGGCGGAUGGGUGAGUAACGCGUAUGCAACCUGCCCACGACAGGGGGAUAGCCCGUUGAAAGACGGAUUAAUACCCCAUAAAACAGGGGUUCCGCAUGGGACUAUUUGUUAAAGGGUUUUCCGCGAGGGGGAUCCGGUUGUGGAUGGGCAUGCGUCCCAUUAGCUGGUUGGUGAGGUAAUGGCCCACCAAGGCUACGAUGGGUAGGGGUUCUGAGAGGAAAGCCCCCCACACUGGUACUGAGACACGGACCAGACUCCUACGGGAGCAGCAGUAAGGAAUAUUGGGCAAUGGUCGAAAGACUGACCCAGCCAUGCCGCGUGCAGGAUGAAGGCCCUAUGGGUUGUAAACUGCUUUUAGCCGGGAAUAAACACCCGUUUUAUAACGGGCCCGAAGGUCCGCUGAAUAAGCAUCGGCUAACUCCGUGCCAGCAGCCCGGGUAAUAUCACGUGUA
rnacentral:rRNA from 1 species